rnacentral:ncRNA from 1 species
GCGAUAACAGUUUGUGAUGCCCUUAGAUGUCCGGGGAUGCACGCGUGUUACACUGGUGGAGUCAGCGGGUUUUUCUAUGCCGAAAGGUAUCGGUAAACCGUUGAAAUUCUUCGAUGUCCGGGAUAGGGUAUUGUAAUUAUUGCCCUUAAACGAGGAAUGCAGUUGUAAGAGGGAUGCACAGAUAAUAAACUUUGA